AGAGGCCAAACGAAUUUCUCACUCUCAUUAUUAAUAGUCUGCGAGGAGUUCUGAGGAGGCUGCCAAAAAUAGCAGGCAAACGCUGCGCGGCCGGCCGGGGAGCGGGACAUUAGUGCUGAGGGACCGGAGUGAAAGGCCCUGCCAAGAAAGUGCUUUCUGCCAGGGGCAGACAUGAGGGGACUCCUUGGUUUUCUCCUUUUCCAAUUGGUCACUAGAACAAGGUGUUGUAUAUUCCCCCCACCUGCCGACUGCCCCAAUUCUCCACCUCGCGCCUCCGGGUGGCUGCAAAGCCUCCUCUUGCAUCUGGGACGUUCUGCAGCUCCGAGGAGCCAGGCUCAAAGCCCAGAGGAUGCUGCUGGCGAAAGGACCCGGUGGAGGGAGAGCUGGGAGGAACUUCUCAAGCUGAGCUGUGAGGGUGCUGCAUGCUCCUCGGGAACAGGAUGCAGACAAGCUGAAGGAGUUCUGUGGCAAAGUCAAGACGAGCAGGCAAGUGCUGGGAACUGGCAGGCGACACCACCGCCCCUGGGUGCCGGCGCUCCAGCCCCAGACAGAAGUGGAAUCACCUUCAGGACAGGUCCAGAACGGGCCUCCCAGGGAAAGAGCUGGAGCAGGGGGGAACUGGGACCAGCUGCCUCGGAGACUCCAGGAGAUGGGGUUUGUCCAGUCCAGGAGGAUUACUGGAAGGCAGUCUUGAGAUGGUGGUAGGUGCUGAUCCUGGCUGGUGAGCCCUGUGCAUGCUGCAGGGAGCUGGUACAGGCGGGGGCUUGCCCCUCAGGGCCUCAGCACCCCAGCAAGGGCCCAGAAAAUGAUUUUCAUACACACACCCCAUCCUGCUCGCGCAGCUAGAGGCCUGAUUCACCCAGCUUAGGGGAUGACAGCAACAAACCAAGCACCAAUGGGGGCUGCCAGGUGCACGGCCUGGAGGAGCAGCCCCUCCCUCCCAACCCUACAUACUUCUUCAUAUGCCCAUAGGGAGUCAG